rnacentral:rRNA from 1 species
CCUACGGGUGGCUGCAGUGGGGAAUAUUGGACAAUGGGCGAAAGCCUGAUCCAGCCAUGCCGCGUGUGUGAAGAAGGCCUUCGGGUUGUAAAGCACUUUCAGUGGGGAAGAAAGCCUUGGGGCUAAUACCCUCGAGGAAGGACAUCACCCACAGAAGAAGCACCGGCUAACUCCGUGCCAGCAGCCGCGGUAAUACGGAGGGUGCGAGCGUUAAUCGGAAUUACUGGGCGUAAAGCGCGCGUAGGCGGUCUGAUAAGCCGGUUGUGAAAGCCCCGGGCUCAACCUGGGAACGGCAUCCGGAACUGUCAGGCUGGAGUGCAGGAGAGGAAGGUAGAAUUCCCGGUGUAGCGGUGAAAUGCGUAGAGAUCGGGAGGAAUACCAGUGGCGAAGGCGGCCUUCUGGACUGACACUGACGCUGAGGUGCGAAAGCGUGGGUAGCAAACAGGAUUAGAUACCCCUGUAGUC